rnacentral:rRNA from 1 species
AGAGUUUGAUCCUGGCUCAGGAUGAACGCUAGCGGCAGGCUUAAUACAUGCAAGUCGAACGGGAUUCAGGGUAGCAAUACUUUGAUGAGAGUGGCGCACGGGUGCGUAACGCGUAUGCAACCUACCUUUAACAGGGGAAUAGCCCCGAGAAAUCGGGAUUAAUACUCCGUAACAUUGCGGGAUGGCAUCAUUCUGCAAUUAAAGAUUUAUCGGUUAAAGAUGGGCAUGCGUGACAUUAGCUUGUUGGUGAGGUAACGGCUCACCAAGGCAACGAUGUCUAGGGGUCCUGAGAGGGUUAUCCCCCACACUGGUACUGAGACACGGACCAGACUCCUACGGGAGGCAGCAGUAAGGAAUAUUGGUCAAUGGGCGCAAGCCUGAACCAGCCAUGCCGCGUGCAGGAAGACGGCCCUAUGGGUUGUAAACUGCUUUUGUCAGGGAAUAAACCUGUCUACGUGUAGACAGCUGAAGGUACCUGAAGAAUAAGCAUCGGCUAACUCCGUGCCAGCAGCCGCGGUAAUACGGAGGAUGCAAGCGUUAUCCGGAUUCAUUGGGUUUAAAGGGUGCGUAGGCGGAUUAAUAAGUCAGUGGUGAAAACCUUCAGCUUAACUGGAGACUUGCCAUUGAUACUGUUAGUCUUGAGUAUGGUUAAGGUAGGCGGAAUGUGUAAUGUAGCGGUGAAAUGCUUAGAUAUUACACAGAACACCGAUUGCGAAGGCAGCUUACUGAGCCAUAACUGACGCUGAUGCACGAAAGCGUGGGGAGCGAACAGGAUUAGAUACCCUGGUAGUC